AAUGUAGUGUUGGAGGUGGAUUAACUAAAAUUCGCACAGACAUUUCUGACCUCUUUUGUCUUUGUAUCUGGCUGAGUCUCAAAUGUUCAUCAGUCUUUACCCACCACCCUGUCUAUAUUUUUUACACAAUGGCCAAAGUAUUGUGUUAGACACAUAAAUCAUUUUUAAGGUGAGUGGGAUUAAAAGCUAACUGAAAAUCAGUUUCAUAAACUUAGUAGAAUUGUUUUUAUACUAAAAACACCUUUUUUUUGGUAAAAAGUUGCUUAUAAAGUUUCUAGAUCCUGUGUGCCUUGUUGUUUGCCACUGUAUUUUUAAUUGUCUCAUUCCUUGUUUGUGUUUGUUGACCUGCAGGUCGACUCCUCUGUGAAAUGGCAGCUCUGAGUGUAUAUUAGGAGUUUUGGACCCUUCCACACCAGGGGCAGAAUAAAUAGGACCAAAGAGCUUCAACAACAUGAGGCUACAGAAGCAGAGGCAGAACUGGGAGGACUGGUUUAAUGCAAAGCUGCAGCACUCCUAGUGGUGGAAACCCAGAAAAGGCGUCUCAUCUCUGCAAAUUCAACAAAUCCAACCAGAUAAGAGGCGAUAACCUCUGACUGUCGUCUUCCGCAAAGCAGAUGUAUUAUGUUGUAAUACUUUUGUCUGUUUAGUUCUUGCAACACUGGCGUCAUUUUUGUGUUUCUGUCUGCAUUCUCGGAAUCAAAACUGCAUGAGUAGACCUUGCAGCUUCACAUCUAAGUGUAUGUAUAUCAAUAGUAAUAUCUAACUGGAGGCGUUGUGUAUGCACUUGCGCAUCCUGGCACAGGUUGUUUUCAGCGACCCUUUUUAUGUAUGAAACAGUCUGUGUGAUUUGUAAAUGUCAGUGGCGAUGGCAUGGCGCCAUUGUUUCUGAAGAAGUGUUGUGUUGUGUGACAAUAAAGGACAGACAUAA